AUUGAACGCUGGCGGCAGGCCUAACACAUGCAAGUCGAACGGUAACAGGAAGAAGCUUGCUUCUUUGCUGACGAGUGGCGGACGGGUGAGUAAUGUCUGGGAAACUGCCUGAUGGAGGGGGAUAACUACUGGAAACGGUAGCUAGUACCGCAUAACGUCGCAAGACCAAAGAGGGGGACCUUCGGGCCUCUUGCCAUCGGAUGUGCCCAGAUGGGAUUAGCUAGUAGGUGGGGUAACGGCUCACCUAGGCGCCGAUCCCUAGCUGGUCUGAGAGGAUGACCAGCCACACUGGAACUGAGACACGGUCCAGACUCCUACGGGAGGCAGCAGUGGGGAAUAUUGCACAAUGGGCGCAAGCCUGAUGCAGCCAUGCCGCGUGUAUGAAGAAGGCCUUCGGGUUGUAAAGUACUUUCAGCGGGGAGGAAGGGAGUAAAGUUAAUACCUUUGCUCAUUGACGUUACCCGCAGAAGAAGCACCGGCUAACUCCGU
rnacentral:rRNA from 1 species